CCUAUCUGCCGUGGGCGCUGGAGAAUUGAGGGGGGCUGCUCCUAGUACGAGAGGACCGGAGUGGACGCAUCACUGGUGUUCGGGUUGUCAUGCCAAUGGCACUGCCCGGUAGCUAAAUGCGGAAGAGAUAAGUGCUGAAAGCAUCUAAGCACGAAACUUGCCCCGAGAUGAGUUCUCCCUGACUCCUUGAGAGUCCUGAAGGAACGUUGAAGACGACGACGUUGAUAGGCCGGGUGUGUAAGCGCAGCGAUGCGUUGAGCUAACCGGUACUAAUGAACCGUGAGGCUUAACCUUACAACGCCGAAG
rnacentral:rRNA from 1 species